GCAAAUAUUCAAACAUCCUACUUAUAAUAAAAGUUGACAUGAACAAUUUAAAUCUUGCUAUUAGAGUCCAUGAUACAAGAUAAUAAGUGAUUGACUACGUUGUACCUUAGAAAUGUUGCUUUCCAUAAAAGCUCGAUGACUAAAGUUGAUUUACUGAGGAUGAAUUCAAUAAUUAAAACCAAAGGAUUCCCAGCCAAGCUAUUUUACACGGGCCGAGAGAAGCAAAACUGGGCUCAAAGCCCAACAAGCUUCCGAACGUACAACGUCAACGAAAAUAUCUGGCUGCCAAAUGGGAUCCACUUGUCAAGGGAGGAUUAGGCAUUCAGAUUUGUACGCUUCGCUCAGCGUGUUUGCUUCCGAUCCCAUUGCGUCGUUGGUUGGUAAUUUAUUUGGUGCCUGUUUCCCUGCCUUAGCUAUUCAGACUCACUUCCGUUCAGGACUAUGCCGGAAGAAAAGAAGCCAGUAAUUGUAUGGCGGAAUAUCGGAAAGCUUGAAGCCUCUGCUCGUCGAUCCUUCAACACUACGGACGGUGAACCACUCUGGAAAAGCAAUAAGCGAUUUGGCGCCAGUGGUGGUAGUGGUAGUGAUGGCGAUGGCACUAGUUGUAAAUUUGCCUGCAUUACUGUUGUAGAAAAGAGAAACCGGAAGGAGUUCCUGCCGACGUCUGCUCAGUUGCUUAAGCAUCCAUUAUCGAUUCUUGCUUUGGUGCACAGAGAAGCAACGCUCUUCGCCGCUGGUGCUGUAUCGGGGGCGGUUGCGAAGACUGCCACUGCUCCGCUCGAGCGAAUCAAGCUUCUUAUGCAGACUCAAGGAGCAAGAAUUGCGGAAGAAGGAGCUAAGAAGUCUAUUGGUUUUAUUGAGGCAAUAAGAACCAUAGUAAAGGUGGAAGGAGUUAAAGGACUUUGGAAAGGGAACUUUCCUCAGGUUAUACGCAUCAUACCAUAUAGUGCUAUCCAGCUCUUUGCGUAUGAAAAUUAUAAGAACCUUUUCAGGGGGAAAGAUGGAGAACUUUCUUUGAUCGGGAGACUCGCUGCUGGUGCUUGUGCUGGCAUGACAUCCACCUUCGUGACAUAUCCAUUAGAUGUUUUGAGGUUACGCAUGGCAGUUGAUCCUGGGUUUCGAACGGCAUCUGAGAUUGCCUUAAGUAUGCUACGAGAGGAAGGCAGUACGUCUUACUACAGUGGUCUUGGACCAUCCCUUUUUGGCAUAGCCCCUUACAUUGCCGUGAACUUUUGCAUUUUUGACUUGGUAAAAAAAUCUUUGCCAGAGGAAGCUCGAAGGAGAACCGAAACGUCUUUAUUCACAGCCUUGCUUUCGGCUUCCCUAGCCACGGUCAUGUGCUAUCCUUUGGACACCGUGAGAAGACAGAUGCAAAUGAAGGGUACACCUUACAAGACAGUGUUUGAUGCUUUUGCAGGUAUAUGGGCUGGUCAUAGAUUUAUUGGAUUCUAUAGGGGUUUACUGCCCAACUUCUUGAAGAAUUUACCAAGCAGCAGCAUCAAACUUACCACAUAUGACUUCGUCAAGCGUCUUAUUGAGGCCAGUGAAAAUGAGUACCAGAGAAUUACCGAGGAAAAUCGUGAAAAGUAUAACCAAAAGUUCAGUGAUUAAAUUUUCCCGAAUUGGUUCUUUGCGAUCUUUAUCCAUCAUAUGUUGUCAUCGCGGUUCGAUGAAAGCCAGAACAAGAAGGUUCAAAACUAGUUGGUUGUUUGGGAGGUUGAAAUUUUGCGUUGAAUCCAGCUUCAUCACAAGACAACAGCCAAACCCUUUCUCGACUACAUAAUGCCAAUGAUUGUGGUUGUGUAGUAAGCAUGAUUGCUUACACUUUCCUUUUGCAUCUUUGACAAUUGUACCCACUCCUUUUCGUACCUUUGUUAGUUUUGUAGAGAUUAGCUGAUGAGAGUAGCAGCCUUUGUUGUUGUGUUCCCUCCUUUGCUCGUGUUUUUUCCUCCUCUGUUGUUGGCUCUCACUACACCCAGACAUAAUUCUUGGCCCAGAACAAUAAUGAUUGUGGUCGUGAAAUUGAAGCCUUUGCUUCCUUUUUCUCUUCAAAAAUUGCCGCAGAUUUUGCUUAUUUAGAUCACUUUUCUCUUUUUUGGAGUGAAAUUAAACGUGAGCUUCCUAUUUUACCUUCUCCAAGUAAAAGAAAUUGCUAUGAGCAAUGAUUAAUUGGAAGUUAUUGAGGGCUGGACCCUCAAUAAUUUUACUCUCUUUAUAAUAAUAAUUAUUAUUAGUAUUA